rnacentral:lncRNA from 1 species
UAAGAACCUUCGUCAUUAGCCGGUUAAGCUUCUUGGGCUAUAUCUUCCAAGGCACGAACAACAUACUGAAAUUAAUGCCUGUCUCUACCCUGGGGUGCCAAGUGGUCUUCUUGUCAAAAUCAUGAGAGAUGCUCCAAAAAUGGAGGGUAAGGUGAAUUUUAGGUGCUCCAGGCCCAACAGUAACAACACAGAAGAGGCACGUGGUGGGAACAUCAUUCUCUUCCCAAAUCUUUUUCAGUGCG